AGUGAACGCUGGCGGCAGGCCUAACACAUGCAAGUCGAACGGCAGCACAGUAAGAGCUUGCUCUUACGGGUGGCGAGCGGCGGACGGUUGCGGUAUACACCGGAAUCCACUUUUUCGCGGGGGAUAAUGCAGGGAAACUCACGCUAAUACCGCAUAUGACGUAUGUGUGAAAGCAGGGGAUCUUUGGACCUUGUGCUAUUGAAUGUGCCGAUGUCGGAUUAGCUAGAUGGGGUGGUAUAGGCUCACCAAGGCGACGAUCCGUAGCUGGUCUGAGCGCAUGAACCGCCACACUGGAACUGAGACACAGUACACACACCUACGGGGAGAAGCAGUGGGGAAUAUUACGCGAUGCACGAGUGCCUGAUCCAGCCAUACCGCGUAAAUGCUGAAGCCGCUCGGGUUGUAGAACGCUGUUGUUGUGAGAGAAGAACAGCUCUUUAAUACCCCACUGUACUGACGGUACCCGAAGAAUAAGCACCGGCUAACUUCGUG
rnacentral:rRNA from 1 species